CAUGCCGCGUGUGUGAAGAAGGUCUUCGGAUUGUAAAGCACUUUAAGUUGGGAGGAAGGGCAGUAAGCUAAUACCUUGCUGUUUUGACGUUACCGACAGAAUAAGCACCGGCUAACUCUGUGCCAGCAGCCGCGGUAAU
rnacentral:rRNA from 1 species